AGAACGAACGCUGGCGGCAUGCCUAAUACAUGCAAGUCGAACGAACACUUCGGUGUUAGUGGCGCACGGGUGCGUAACGCGUGGGAAUCUGCCCUUGGGUUCGGAAUAACAGUUGGAAACGACUGCUAAUACCGGAUGAUAUCGAAAGAUCAAAGAUUUAUCGCCCAGGGAUGAGCCCGCGUAGGAUUAGCUAGUUGGUGAGGUAAAGGCUCACCAAGGCGACGAUCCUUAGCUGGUCUGAGAGGAUGAUCAGCCACACUGGGACUGAGACACGGCCCAGACUCCGUACGGGAGGCAGCAGUAGGGAAUAGUUGGAC
rnacentral:rRNA from 1 species